GGAGUUUGGACCGUGUCUCAGUUCCAAUGUGGGGGACCUUCCUCUCAGAACCCCUACUGAUCGUAGCCUUGGUGGGCCGUUACCCCGCCAACAAGCUAAUCAGACGCAUCCCCAUCCCAUACCGACGAGUCUUUGUUCCUCAUAAGAUGCCCAACAAGGAAAACAUAGAGUAUUAAUCCGACUUUCGCCGGGCUAUCCUCUGGUAGGGGGAAGGUUGGAUACGCGUUACUCACCCGUGCGCCGGUCGCCAUCACAGAUAGCAAGCUACCUGCAUGCUGCCCCUCGACUUGCAUGUGUUAAGCCUGUAGCUAGCGUUCAUC
rnacentral:rRNA from 1 species